CAGUCGCCGCGGUAAUACGGAGGGAGCUAGCGUUGUUCGGAAUUACUGGGCGUAAAGCGCACGUAGGCGGCUUUGUAAGUCAGAGGUGAAAGCCUGGAGCUCAACUCCAGAACUGCCUUUGAGACUGCAUCGCUUGAAUCCAGGAGGGGUGAGCGGAAUUCCGAGUGUAGAGGUGAAAUUCGUAGAUAUUCGGAAGAACACCAGUGGCGAAGGCGGCUCACUGGACUGGUAUUGACGCUGAGGUGCGAAAGCGUGGGGAGCAAACAGGAUUAGAUACCCGCGUAGUCCCUGUCUCUUAUAC
rnacentral:rRNA from 1 species